CGCGGUUAUACCAAGUGAUUAAGUUAUAUUCUUAGGUAAAAAGACAGUUAGGUUUAAAAAUAUAUUUAGUCUAUUGACCACUUGUAAAAAAGUAAAAUUUGUAUACAAGUAGCUAAUCUAGAAGUGGCUACAUUAAAUGCUGAAGCUGUGAUAGUCUUGAGGGAAACUGGGAUUAGAUACCCCAUUAUUCUUGAUUAUAAAUAUAAUUAAAUUUACCAGAGUACUAUGAAUAGUUAAAAAUUUAAAACUCAAAGGGCUUGGCGGUGUUUUAGACCUAUCAGGGGAACCUGUCUCAUAAUCGACAAUCCGCGUUAUAUCCAACCUUACUUUGUACUCAGUUUGUAUACCGUCGUCGUCAGGUAACUUUUUAAAAUAUAGAAGUUAGCAAGAAAAACUGUAAGUUAAAACGUCAGAUCAAGGUGCAGCCUAUAGUAAGGAGAGGAUGGGUUACAAUUAUUAAAUUUAUAAUUACGGAAAUUUAAAUGAAAUUAUAUUUUGAAGGAGGACUUGAAAGUAAACUAAAUUAUAUGAAUAGUUUGAAUAAGGCUCUG
rnacentral:rRNA from 1 species